CGCCCCGCAAGGAGAGUGGCAGACGGGUGAGUAACGCGUGGUACGUACCCUUUCCUGCGGAAUAGCUCCGGGAAACUGGAACUAAUACCGUAUAUGCCCUACGGGGGAAAGAUUUAUCGGUAAAGGAUCGGCCCGCGUUGGAUUAGCUAGUUGGUGGGGUAAAGGCCUACCAAGGCGACGAUCCAUAGCUGGUCUGAGAGGAUGAUCAGCCACAUUGGGACUGAGACACGGCCCAAACUCCUACGGGAGGCAGCAGUGGGGAAUAUUGGACAAUGGGCGCAAGCCUGAUCCAGCCAUGCCGCGUGAGUGAUGAAGGCCUUAGGGUUGUAAAGGUCUUUCACCGGAGAAGAUAAUGACGGUAUCCGGAGAAGAAGCCCCGGCUAACUUCGUGCCAGCAGCCGGGGUAAUACGAAGGGGGCUAGCGUUGUUCGGAAUUACUGGGCG
rnacentral:rRNA from 1 species